GGAGACACUCUGUCAUGGUAAACAAAGAUCUUGUGAUGUAUAUCUGGGAUUGUCCGAAAAUUAUGAAAUGAAAGUUGCAUCACACUUCAUGAAACCUCUUGCGGUUGGGCUACUUGGAAGUGACUUUGACCUUGUAUAGAAAGGUAUGUCAUCACCAAUCCCCCCUACGAGUUUGAGCUCGUGCCGACGGACCUGAUCUUCUGCUUAAUGCAGUUUGACCACAACGCCGGCCAGUCCCGGGCCAGCCUGUCCCAUUCCUCCCACUCGUCGCAGUCCUCCAGCAAGAAGAGCUCCUCUGUUCACUCCAUCCCAUCCACAGCAAACCGACAGAACCGGCCCAAGUCCAGGGAGUCCCGGGACAAACAGAACAGAAAAGAAAUGGUUUACAGAUGAACCGGAUAAUGCCUAUCCCAGAAACAUUCAAAUCAAGCCCAUGAGC
rnacentral:sRNA from 1 species